CGAAACCGACCCAAAUCGAAUCCACCCUUCUCUCCCCGCCGCGGCGCCGCUCCCCCCUCGCCCUAGCAACUCCUCUGGCGGCCGGCGAGCGAGCAGAGAUGAACGCCGCUGCUCCCGCCUCCCCUCUCAGCUUCUUACUCUUCCUCAGUCUGCCGGCGGGGAAUUCCGGAUUCCAGUGACAAGGGGCGCAUCGGCGAUCUUUGGCGCGCGGCUGCGACAGAGCUCGUCGCUCCUCUUCCACGGCCACCAAUGGCGUAGGCCCCUUUACUCGUCGAACGCUCGCUCAGGGUGCUCCGUUCCUCAGCCGGUGAGCCCCCGUCUCUUCCACGGCAGCGGCACAGGGCGCAUCUUGAGCUUCACUUCUCUUCCACGACAAGCGGCACAAGCAACAUGUUUUCUAGGGUUUUGUUUCCCCGCCAGGUGCAUUCUUCCCCAUAAAUCUGGUACUGAAAGGAGUAAAAUUACUCUGGCCAGUGAAAGAAGCCAGUAUCCGGCGUGGGCUGUUCGAUCUACUACAGUCUGGUAGAUUUUGAAAGAAAGGAAUUGCAGAUUUUAUUUGGACAAAGAGAUGAAGCCAGAAAGGAUUCGAUUCGGUAUAACACCAUCACCGAUGCAGACGACAAGGGGUUCAUCGCGCCAGGCACCUCGGCGUUGCUUCCGUGAGAUGGUGGCAGCGGCUACAGAAACAGCUACGGUGAGUUCCUCUCCUCGCCCCCAGUGGUUGCUCUGAGCUCGGCGUGGCCAUCGUGCCAUGGCUAUGUUUGGUUAGGCUGCUGCAGUACGCCCUUGCAUAAUUCGGUGCUACUGUUUGUUUGUUUGUUUCUCUGCCUUGCUGCCACUAGCCUGCCUGAUAUAAACUUGCUGAAUAUAUAUGUCUUUGAGCAGGAAUUGAUAGAAUAUAUACAGCUCAUGUUCAUGUUGAUUCCCAUCCCACUCAAAGUCUGAAACACUUCUUCUUCGCACUCAACAACUAGGCAGCACACCCGAAUAUAUAUGCAUAUAUAUAUAUGUAUGUAGUUUCCCACUACACACAUGGAGCAGUCUUGUUCGUUUUAGGAUGUAGUAUCACCACUUUAUUUAUUCCCUGCCUGCCUCCAUGAUAUUCUGACUGCAUAUAUGUGGUCUGUGUACCAUCCAUGAUAUGCACUUGCAUCCUCAACUCAUGUUGGUAUUUUUUUAUAUAUCCAAGGAUGCCUUCCUACUCCUGCUAGUUUAGUUGUCGUGUGGCCUUGUUUCCAUGAUGAUGAAAUUCCAAAUAUACAAAUUAUUCAUACAACAUGGAGGGCCGGUGCGGGUGCUGUGGACACUCAUUUUAUGUCACUUCAUUCAAUUAAGAAAGGCAUUUUUGACAGCGUCAAAGUAAGAAGUUGUCUCAAGAAGAGUGGUGCCAGAAUAACCAUAGCGUUCAAUAGAGGAAAGCGGGCUAGCAUGGAAGCCAUAGUAGGUUGAGUUGGAGGCAGUGCGUUACCAAUAGAAGGAGGUUUGGUAGUUGAGGGAGAUGGCGAAUUAGAAGAAUCCACAACACGUGGACGACCAAUGUGGUAAGAAGAGGAUGACGGGUAAUCACCGGAGAAGCCUCACGGGACGAGCGAGGUUUGAGGUAGCCUCAGGUAAUGAACGAGGUGAGGAAGCCACAUGUGACAAUGGUACGGAGUCUAGAAUAUUAGUACGGGAAGACACGGUGGGAUGGGUGGAUGAGGACAAUGCGUGGGUGAUAGGUGUAUCUGCAAAAGUGAGGAAAGAAAUAUCGUCAAUGGGAGGAUGGACGUGGAUUGAAAGGAUGAGACUCAUCAAAAGCCACAUCCCGAGAAAUGAGCAUCCCAUGAGCAACAGGAUCCUAACAGGCGACAUUCAAUAGACUGAGCAACCAGUUUGGUGUGUU